GAUGAACGCUGGCGGCGUGCCUAACACAUGCAAGUCGAACGGAGUCCAGCCUUUAAGACCUUCGGGUCAAAGAGGGGAAGACUGAGUGGCGGACGGGUGAGUAACACGUGGGCAACCUGGCUCAUAGAGGGGGAUAACAGAGAGAAAUUUCUGCUAAUACCGCAUAAGCACACACUGCCGCAUGGCAGAGGGUGAAAAGAGAAUCGCUAUGAGAUGGACCCGCGUCUGAUUAGCCAGUUGGCAGGGUAAGAGCCUACCAAAGCGACGAUCAGUAGCCGAUCGGAGAGGAUGAACGGCCACAUUGGGACUGAGACACGGCCCAAACUCCUACGGGAGGCAGCAGUGGGGGAGAUUGCACAAUGGGGGGAACCCUGAUGCAGCGGCGCCGCGUGAGUGAAGAAGUAUUUCGGUAUGUAAAGCUCUAUCAGCAGGGAAGAUAAUGACAGUACCUGAAUAAGAAGCCCCGGCUAACUACGUG
rnacentral:rRNA from 1 species